UCUCAACAUUGUUUUCUCCGCUUGAUCUAGGAUUCUUUGUACCCUAAAACUAAGAUUAGGUCAAACUCCAAUGGAGGUUGUACGAGAUUGUACGUCUCAAAUAUUUGUUUGGAAUCACUGUAUUGGUCUCCUUCAUGACGUAUCGUUCCCGAUUCAUGGCCUCUGUUACGUUAUGUAAUUAAGUGUUCAUCGCUAUCAACAUCGUUCUUUACUCAUUGGACCCACUGCACUCAUGAUUCAUCAUUCAAUACUUCUCUUCUCUUUUCCAGGCGGUUAAACUUCACCUAAAAAGUAUGUCUUCUUCCUAUAAACGUUAUCCUCACCAAUCCACAAAAUUGCGACUCCGAGUCUCCAUCGUCUUCAGUUGACCGGAAGAAGCUUCAAGCUAAGCCUUUGAAUUCAGCCGUUGAUGAUUGGGUUGGCAGGUUGUUGGCUCUGGUUUCUUCAGACAUGCCAGAUAAAUGCUGGGUGGGUGUCGAUUUGAUGGGAGUAACUUGCCAAGAGUGCAGCUCAGAUCGUUUCUUUAGUUUAUACUUUGUUUGGUUCAACAGCUUACUAUCGCAUAUUAAGAAUCCAGAAAGUUCUAGAAUUGUUCGAGUGGUUUCAUGUACUUCAAUCUCUGAUCUCAUUACAAGACUGUCUAGAUUCACGAAUACGAAGAAAGAUGCAGUUUCUCAUGCUUCGAAAGUAAUCUUUCCAUCAUUAAACUAUUGGAGGAAGAAUCUUCAAAGGCACUAUGGGUAAGUGUCAUAAUAUGAUUGAUUAAAUGUCCUUUUGUUAAUGAAAAUCAAGUUCUUAAUAUAGUAUUAGAAAUUAUAUUAUUAUUAUUAUUUCUGCUUUUUGUUUCAUACAUGGAUUUUUUAGAUUCUGGUAAUAUAAGCUUUAUGAGUUCGUCUCUUUACAUGUCUUAAACUGUGGUAGAAGAAAGAAAGAACAAUUAUACUGAAACAAGACGAACUAAGUGACCUUCGUAUCAAAACCAUUUUAGCAUGAAUGAAUUCCCACUAUAGUAAACAGUUAAUGUUAUAUACAUAUUUCAUGGAAAGUAGGAGGUUGGAUAACCGAGAUGUGAGUAGAGGGUUUAUGAAAAAAAAAAACAAAAGACAAAAGGUGCGACUAUAAGCUAUUAGCUAGGUAAUACUUAAUUAACAUACUUGAGCACACUUGAGUAAGCAUAAAAUCAAACGUAUGAUAAAGCUUUUCUCUUCUAGGUUGAGGACAAUACACGUAAAAUAUAAAAACAACAAGCAUUUGUAAUCGAUGGAUGAUGUACAAUGAUCAUGCAAGCCUAUUUCGAAAAAAACUUUAGUUACAUAUCAUGUAUUAGCUUGUGGAAUCCAAAGAAAACUAUAAUAUAGAUUUUUAACCACAAUACAAUAUUUGUUAUACUUUGUUAAUAAUUAUUUUGAUCACCAAUCCAUUCUAAGAAAAUAACAGUAUUAUGUAAAUACGAUUAUGAACAUUAUUCAAACAAAUUGUAUAUAGAUAGAAAAUACAUCAACGGAGAUGGAUGAUGAAGAGGAAAAAAAAAAUAAAAGAUAAAUAUUAUAAUAUCCUUAAACAUUAUAAAUUUAACGGUUUUAAAGCCAAAAUAAAAUUUAAAUGGAUUGUGCAUAAAAUUUAUUUUAAUUAAAAUUAAAUAAAUACGAUAAAAGUAUUCAGAUUAAACUAAGCUUAUAUCAUUUUAUAUUUUUUUCAUCACGUGAAAAAUAUUUAAUUUCUUGAGUAGUAAAAGAUUCAAAUCUAAUAGACCAAAAAUAUUUAAUUUCUUAAAAAAAUCUUUUUUUAAAAACAAAAUUGUCUAAUGAUUUAUAUUUUAAUAGUAAGUGUUAAUAUAUACAUAAUAUUAAAAUAAAUUAAAAUGAUAGAAUUAAAAAUAAAUAUUAUGGAAAUACCCCAGCCGUAGCAAGACGAUCUCUGAUCUGAUUUUUUUUUUUAAAUAUUGACUAAACCACUUUCAUCACAGGAACAACAGCCAAUCUGAAAUUCAACCCUUCUGAGCUUAAACGAAGCCAUUGUUUUCAGAAAUACAAAUAAUAAUAGUUUGAAACUCUUGACUCCGUUUUUAUUUUAAAUUUCCGUCGACAUAUGACUCUAACUUAUUUACAGUUCUACAUUUCCCAUUCUGAUGAAAAACAUCCUAUUAAAACUGACCCUAUUAGUUAAAUAAAUGGCUUCAAAUACAGAGUCCCUAAUAUGUAUUUACUACCUUAUUUACACAGCAAAUAAAAUAAUUAUAUUUCAAAUAAGUCGACACAACUGGUGCAUAACAUAACCUCAUAAAAUAUAAUCCAUACAACAAAAACUAAUCAAGCAUACUUAUAACUAAAAAAAUAAUAGUAAUAUUAAAAAAUAGAUUGCAUAUUUUUUAUAAAUAUUUAUUGUUAAGAAUAAAUAGUCAUUCAUAUAUUUCGAUGGGAAACAAUAUAUAUAUAUAUAUAUAUAUAUAUAUAUAAUUUUUAAAAGGGUGUUUGUUUUACUAAUUAACAAUUCAUAUUAAAAUACAAUGCAGCUAUUUAGAUCAAAUUUUGAAUAGUUAUUUAGUUUAAUAUAAUAAUAUUUUAUUGUUAACUAUUUUCCAUACUCUUUUGUAUUCUUUUGUAUUAUGUUAUAAAUAUCUAAACAUCAAUCACAAAAUUUCGGUGAGAAUUUAACAGCUUAUUAAUUUAUAGUCAUUUUUUCAAGUUCAACACAUAAUAUACUGAGUACGAAAAAAAACAUAAAAAUCACUAAGAUUUGAUCAUUAUAUAUUAUUUAUUUCAGCCAAAUGCUCUAUUGGGUUUAAAAUAUAAUUUUAUAUAUAUUAUUUAUUUUAGCUUAUGUUUUACUCUUAAUUGGGUACUUAUGCUGUGGUUAUGGAAGUUGUUAUUAUAUAAUAACUUAUGAGUUGCAUCUAAUAUCCAAAAAUAUUGUUAAUUAUUGAUUCAGAUGUAUAUAUUAGCACACUCACACCUAAAAAGAAGAUGAACUCUGCACUGUAUGCAUUAACAAUAUUGUAAGUAAAGAGAAUUCAACGAAUUGCCGUGCAACCAUAUCUUUCACCACCAGUGCAUCGUUGACUGGUUUAUAUCAAAUUUAAGCUGCCCAACAUGUCAAGAUACGAUACUUUAAUAUUAGUAUUUCCGGUUUACACAACUCAUAAUUAACCGACCUAAUAAUAAAUUUUACUCAUAAAUGCUUACUUAAUCUAUAAUUAUAAGUUUGUCUAUUUCCUUGCUAUUAAUACUCUUUAGAUUCAUCCAACUCCAGAAAAUUUCUAAAAAUGAUGUGAUGGCACCAUGAAAAAAAUACUUAUCAAUACGCCAUGGUAUAUUUAGUCAUCAAAUACAAUAACAUAUAUAGAAUUUAACUAAUAUGUAUAUUUUAAAAUAUAACAAUUUAUAUUGAAUAUUUAUUCUAACUAUUUACAUAAU